rnacentral:lncRNA from 1 species
CAUCCCUUGCAGGCCUGUCCCCUCCAGGAUGCGUCUUACAUUCUCUUGCUUCUCCCUCCCCUUCAUAAACCUGCUCUCUUCACCAUUCCUGUUUUGCUGUACCUCUGUUUCUGUAGGUAUUUCACCCAAGGACCAAGGAUCACCCAAGUUCUCUCACCCUCUCCUGAGAGUCGCAUGGCCGCUGCCCAGCCUGGAGCAACAGAGGCAGCAACCCCAGACCCUGUGUGCCUCGACAGGGGCGUGAUUUCUGUUUCCUACACUACUGAUACCCCGGUUAGCAGUGCCAAAUUCUGCUUCUUCAUGUGUUCAAGUACAGUAUUAGGGAAGCACGCCGAGGCAGGCACAUAAAAAAGGGGUCACAUAGACUUCUCCCGGGAGAGAGAAGGGAACCAUAGUGGUCUCCUGGUAUCCCAAGAGUGAGGGUGUUGCCUUUCUAGGUCCUAGUCUUCCUAGUUCUCCUAUUCUCUUCCCCUCAUCUCUCUUCUCAGCCUUUGUGACUAGGCCCAGGAAAUGCUCUGUGAGAUGGCCAAAAGGUGGGAACAAGUGGGCUGGAGGGGCCAGGGAGGAGGGAUCCAGGCAGCCAGGGAGCCCAGGGUGAAUUAAUGAGCAGGCCCCCUGCGCUCAGGAGUUGCUUCAUUAACAAAGUUUCAGAUGGGCAGUCUAAGCCAGACUUUGGGAACAUUAGCAUUUCAAUUUCCCAUAGGCACAGUUUCAAACCUUUGGACCCAAACCGGUUUGUUCAGUUUUCUUAAAUCUGGCUAGAGUUUUCUAUCUACACUGACCACCUGCUUUUUAAAUUCUGACUUCACUACCACCUACCCUGGACAUGAUUUUGCCUUCCUACCUAAAGUUCCUCUGCCAGCACUUCCAUUCCAAGAUCCCUGAAUACCUUACCUCCAAGGGACAGUGCUGCACACCAAAGACUUGCCUCACAGCCUAUGCUGUGGGCAGUGGCCUUGCGGUUCCAGGACGCCCUGGUCUUCCCAAAUCCCCCAGCAGCCCAAUGGAACAGCACUAGGAGUUCAAGGUCCUGCGUGGGGUCCCUUCCAGGUGAGACACUGUCUGCCAGGAUGUGUCUGUGCUGCCUAGGGAAUUGGAGCUCCAGGGUCAGGUUCACUGUGAAGUCACAAGGACCAAUUCCUUCCAGGUUGGGGCCCUAGCAAAGUGUUUGCAGGGUCCUAAGUUUAGUUUAAAAAAAAAAUUUUUUUUGAUACAGGUUUUUCGUUAUCCAGACUGGUCUUAAACUUAUGGGCUUAAGUGACCCUCCUGCCUUACUCUCCCAAGUAGCUGGGACUACAGGUGAAUGCCACACCCCCAUCAUUUAGUAACAUUUACAAAAGGAAAAUACUUUAACCGCAAUCAGUUGUGACUUCCUCAUCCCACAGCUGGCCUCUCAGUCACUCCCACCCCUGCCACAUGGGACAUAGUGGGACACAGUUUUGUGUUCAAUGGAAAUAGUGUCGUGAUGGGCAAGAGUGCAACAUCUGCAUGGAGGGGAGAGUUCAAGAAUGUCGAUGCAUUUCUGCCCUUUUCUUUUUUAAUAUUUAUUUUUUUAGUUCUCGGCGGACACAACAUCUUUGUUGGUAUGUGGUGCUGAGGAUCGAACCUGGGCCGCACGCAUGCCAGGCGAGCGCGCUACCGCUUGAGCCACAUCCCCAGCCCAUUUCUGCCCUUUUCAAUAUUUUAUUCACUCUAAAGGUUCUUAGUCAAGGAAUGACAAUCCUUAAGAAGGCUGGGCACUGCAAUAGACAUAAUCCACUCAAAGCAAACAAUUCUAUGUUAAAUUCUAAGCACUGCAAACACAAUUAAUCAUGACAGGCCUAUUGCAGACGUUCCCUCUGUAUGCUAAGCUUAAGUGCUAGAUUUAAAGUCUUAAGUCUCUAGAUCUUAAGUCCAGAAGAUGCACACUCACUCAGAUCAUAGUGGAGUUGACGGCUGGCUGAGGAGACGGAUCAGGUCGUAAAGAGACAAGAGACAUCUUUUUCUCACCAGAGUCAAGAAGCUGCUGUAGAGUUUGAGAGUGGUGGGGACCACGCAAAAGAUCAGGCAGAUGGGAAGAGUAGGGAUGUCAGGUCCAGGUCCUCCUCAGGCUGUAUGCAUCAGUGUCAGCUGGCUGAAUGUCUGUCCUUUUGCUCUAUUAUUUACACUAAAUUUGGGGAGCUUCUGUUCACCCUUUGGGUCUCUAUCAGCUGUUACCAGGUUUCUUAGUGACUUCUUGCCUCCUAGAGUCCGGACGUAUGGUCUGGUGAUUUCCACCCUGAUAUCACACCUCUGACUCUUACCAGGGUUAAGACAAAUGACAUGUGACUUUACCCUAACUCUUACCAGGGUUGUGGAAAGUGACUUGUUUCAUCAGGCUAUGCCUGAUUGACAUAUUGGAGGGAUCCGUGGCUUGCCUGGUGAGGACUACGAUUUUAUUUUAAAAUGGAGUUGUUUAGGCUAAGGCCUAAGGCCAUCCUUACAGCCCACCCCCUUGAUUCACAGUGCCCGUGCCUGGGGGAUGCCCAAAGUGGGUGCUAUGAAUUAAUAUAGAGGCAUCACCUAUUCUGCUGGCCAAAGACUGGACUCCACACAUGUCCAAAAGUCACUCCUCACCGUGGAUUGUUGAAUCAUUUCAUAGGCACCAAUGGUGACCAUAGUCCAAUUACAUCUAUUUUAGACUAAUGUGGUAGCAAUGUAAUCUAGAAUUGUAAUCACAAUGUAAUCAUAACUAGGUGGUACAAUUGGGUUAAAACAUUUAUGUUUCUCUUAUAGAUAGGUCCCAAUGGACUACUUCCUUUGCUUUGCCCAGUUGAUUACAAUAGUCACCACAAGGUUAUCAAAUGCUCUGAGACACAUUGAAUCUAAGUAUUGGCUGAAGAAAACGAACGUAGGUGGUCCCUCAGGAUUGACAUACAUUGGUGUUACAAUACUUGUUUUUGGCAUUUUGUUUUCAUAAUAAUACAAACAUCCAUCUUGAAAAACAGUGCCUAGUCUUUCUGGAAUCCAUCCUGGUUCUAUCCAUUGUAACAGAUCAAAAUCCUCAUGAAGUUUACUAAGGUCUGGGUCAGUGUAUUUCCACAGUUUUGUGUGAGAUCAGGCAAGGCGAGAGGCAACCAAAGGAGGCAGAUUUAAAAAGGCCACUGAAGGGGGCUGGGGUCGUGGCUCAGCGCUAGAGCGCUCACCUCGCAUGUGCAGGACCCUGGGUUCCAUCCUCAGCAUCACAUAAAAAUGAAUAAGUAAAAUAAAGGUGUUGUUUCCAACUACAACUAAAAAAUAAAUAUUUACAGAAAAAAAAAAAGGCCACUGAAGGAGGCUUUAUUUGAGACUCGCUCCCGAGUGGAACUCGAUCAGACUGACAGAGGGGACAGAAGAAGGGUCUGAGGAGAAACAGCGUGGGGGCUCGACUGGACUGGAAUUUUAUGUGGCUUAGGCAGGAAGGGAAGGGCUUGGGACAGGAAAAGGUGUUUUUAGAGUCCCUUGUCCUGCUGGAGUUGGUGGGGGGAGCUGGCUGAACUCCAGGAUUGGCCAGAAGACCCUGCUGAUUGACAGACGUUAGCCAGGAGAUCCCACUGAUUGACAGGCAUUUCCAUUGGUGCCUGAUUGAUGUUUCUUUCCCGCAUGGGCUGCUUUGUCCUAAGUCACCGCCACUGACCUGACAGUUUGCACGUGCAUAUAUCAUGCAGUAAGGGAAAUAAUCAUUAAAUGAUUGGAUUCUGAUUUUAUUUUUCUUAGUUUGUUUCAAUAUAUUUAUUAUUUAUUCAAUAUUAAUGUAAAAUGUGGAUAUUGGCCUGAAUGUGCCAAUAUUGGUUUGGUCCUGCUAUUAAGAUCAAUAUUUUUGCAUGUUUAGGUAUUAUGGCCUGCAGUACUUCUUCUGGAAAAUAUGCUUUAUGCAAAAAAGUAUACAUUUAUAAGUACUGCAUUUUGGUUCCUUGUAUCUAAGGACAGGAGCUGAGUCUAUCUCAUUGGUUGGAUCAGGUUGUAGUAGAAUAGUAGGUAAAUGGCUCAAUAUUAAGCUUUUGUGAAGCAAUGACAGCAGUUGCAAAUCUAUUAUGUUCUAAUAGCACUGUGUCUUUUACAUGGUCUUUGCACUCCAAAGAUUCUAAGUUACAGGCAUGAAAAUUAGAUAUGAACAGAUAGGUUAUUUGAUUUUUAAAGUUAUCACAAGUAUGUGGGAAUUUGUAUGGAUAUACCCACUUCCCAGCAUAAGCUUUGCGUGAAAUCCAAGGAUCUAGAAACAAGCUUAUUUCUGAUGUACAUACUUGUCCUGUAGAAUGCAACAAUGUUGUAUAUAUGUUACAAUGACAUUAGCUUAAUUUACAUUCCUUGUUAUAGAAUUAAGCAUCUCCUGAUAAAUGGUAUUGUUUUUCAUUAUUUCAUGUUAUUCCUAUAUUUCAAUAUUUCAAUUUUCUAGUGAAUCUAUCAUGAAAUAUCUGCAACAGUAUCUAAAUGUCCUUUCAAACCUAGUAGCCUACAAUAAACUUAUAAAUCUAAAUUAAGAUUGUUCACAACAAUUUUUCAUGAAUCAUAAGGUUUGUUACAAUCAAUAUAAUUCACAAUGCUAGCAUAAACAGGAAUUUGGAAGCUAUUUUCAAUGAAUGCUAUAAAAUGAUAUUCCAAGUUCCACUGUUUGUGUUACAGAUAGGUGAUGACACAGACAAGACAUCCAA